GUAGCCGUGGCCUAUUGGUUAGGGCUUCCGGCUUGAAACCAAAGGGUUGUCAGUUCGAUCCCUGACCAGUAGGA
rnacentral:tRNA from 1 species